rnacentral:lncRNA from 1 species
AUGGUGUUGUCUGAUUCCUAUGGAAGAACUCAAACCAGGAUAUUCAGGAACCAAUCACAAUUAUUUUCCUGUCUUUUCUCAACAAAAAUGGACUCACUUAAGACUCAACAUCUUUCCAGCUAGAAAUGGAUGAUGGGUGAAGGUUAUGCCCCUGUAAAUAGGCAAGAAGAUGGAUAUGGGAAGAAGCAGGCAAAGUGAAGUAUGACUAAAUAUAGUGAGGUAAGUUAGCACACUAACCAAUCUUGUUAGCAUGGGUUUCAUGGCAGAAAUCCCAGAGGUGAAAGGGUUAAAAGUACUCCAGU